rnacentral:misc_RNA from 1 species
AAGUCGUAACAAGGUUUCCGUAGGUGAACCUGCGGAAGGAUCAUUAACACGUUUUAGUUCCAAACGUUUUCUGACCCAUUCUAUUUUCCGUGCACAAACAUAAAACCGGCCUCCUGACCUUUCCUCUCAGUUUAUUCUGUCUGUUGAUUGUGCCAGGCGUCCUUUGGGGUAACAUAGGGAUCUUGUUUCUGCCUCUCAAAUCCUUUUGAUGAGGCAGUCCAGGAGCCCUCCUGAUUGACGUUGCCAACUCACCCAACCCUUGAAUCUAAUUGCUCUAAAACUUUAGUUGUUUAAGUGACGUUCCUCUGGGGACGAAGCUUUUCAACGACCAUAAAACAAAUAACAACUCUUAACAACGGAUAUCUUGGUUCUC